rnacentral:rRNA from 1 species
UGCGUAGGUGGCAAGCGUUGUCCGGAUUUAUUGGGUUUAAAGGGUGCGUAGGCGGCCCUGUAAGUCAGUGGUGAAAUACUCCAGCUUAACUGGAGGGGUGCCAUUGAUACUGCAGGGCUUGAGUGGAGUCGAAGUAGGCGGAAUUGACGGUGUAGCGGUGAAAUGCUUAGAUAUCGUCAAGAACACCGAUAGUGAAGACAGCUUACUAGGCUUCUACUGACGCUGAGGCACGAAAGUGUGGGGAUCAAACAGG